GAGGAUGCUGUUGAUCUUUGCUACUACCUUAAGGAUCCUCUUGGACCCUUUGCAUCCUGCCACAGUUAUGUUGACCCUGAUGACCACUAUGAUUCAUGUCUGUAUGAUGUAUGUGAGAUGGGUGAUGAUGCCCUGUGUGCGAGUCUAGAACAGUACGCCCAGGCCUGCAAGAGCAAGGGAGGGAACCCUGGAACCUGGAGAGUGCAUGUACCGGAAUGCCCAUUGGACUGUCCUUCCAACACUGUGUACGACCCCUGCUUCAGUGGCUGUCCAGCA